CUACCUUUUGGCCAACUGCCUGUUGCUUUGAAAAAGACUGUAAGAGGCUCUAUAAGUUUACCAAGACUCUGAGAUCUCCUCACUGAAGAAGAUGGAUCUAUUGGCAGUGACCACGAGGACCUCAUCUCUACGAUGGUGAAGAGCCAAUGAAUAAACAAAUCACUGCCUUAUACGGAGGGAAGAAAAGGAAUUUGGAAAAAUGCUUAUUCCGGCAGGAGAAUACAAUUCUAUUACUUGCCCAACUUCUUCAUCGCAAAGCAAAAUGUCAUUGAACACCGCAGGUACUAAUGGAGCUGCAGAGGGAAAAUCAUAUGAAUGAGAGCAGAAGAAAGAAGAUUUGGGCUGCUGAGUCACUCUCCAUGCUAUACAGAUCACUCUCAGCCUUUAUGUUCUCUCUUUUUUUAAAGAUUGUUCAACAAGUCCAUUAAAACUCUUUGUUUCAAGGGAAUGUUUUUAUUGGCUUGCAAGAAGCCAGGGAUUCACAUGAAAAAAUAUUCACAAAAGCAUUCUGAUCUGAAUGCUGAACAUGCCUAUAGUUAUUCCAGGUAUUAAUAUUUUAGGUUACUUUUCCUAGUAAAGCAUUAACUAAUUAGUUCCUUGACAAGGCUUUUGAUGAUCAGAUAAUGGUGAUAUGUCUGGUUCCAACUGAUGCAGCAAGACAUUUUUAGUCUCCAGUAUAAGGGUCCAGGGUUUGUGAGGGUUUUUUUCCCUGUUUCUCUUUCUCAGUGUGCAGCCAGGUGAUUGAUAGAAUACACUGAGCUGCUAAAAGAAUGCAUUUUCCUGGGUCAUCUAAGCAGCAUCACUGUUAGCAUAAUGGGGCCAGCUCAGUGCUUUGGCAUAAAAAUGAGUCACGUUUCAUUUUGGGAAACACGCAACAAAAGUACUAAUAAUGCCCUGCAGAAACACAUAAUGUGAUUUUUAUGAAUCACACCUAGCAGCUUAUUGUGAGUUUGUACCAGAUGGAUUUCUGAUUAAGUUUCAGCUAAUUCAGGAACCUCUCUACACUGAGAUGUCCAUUUAAAGCCUGAUGAAAUAUACAUGGGAUGAUCAAGUGCCAGGUGAUACCAACAGCACUUGUAAUUUGUCAAGGAUUUCAGAUGACCCAGAAGCAAGACCUUUACAGCAAGUGCCUCCUUGCUGCUUAAGAAAUUUUACACUACUUUUCUGUUUUACCUGCUUCCCUGCUGGUUGCACUGUUAAUCAGAGAUAAAUUCCUAAAAUGUUACCCUAGACAUGUCUGCUGUCCUCCCCACAGAAGGAUAAAAUCUUUUCAAUAAAGGGACUCAGUACAGAUUGCAGAUGGAUAGAUAAGCAACACCAUUUUAUUCCAAGAAAAAAUUGAUGCAGCAUGAAAAAAUCAAGUAACUCAUCAAUUUCAAGUUGGCGGUGUCCUUUCAAAGCACAGGAACAAAUCAGUUUAACAGCAUUUAAAAAUUACUGCAUGUUCCCAGGGUUUCCACAUGGCAUUUGCAAGAACAUUUACUGGUUUUCUAACUGUAGAAAAUUUAGUGACUUUCUUUUUACCUUCUUGCCUCACACUAUAAAAAAACUUUUUAUUUUUAACUCUGGAUAAUUUCUCUUCUAGUCUGUUUUUUCAUUUGUACUUCUAUUUUAAUCUAUUUUUCUUAUACUUUCUAAAUUACUAUUAAAUCCCAAUAUUCAAUUCACAUACUUCUAAGUAAAUUACUUGCCUUAAAAAUACAGAUUUCCCUUGGUGCUCCAACACAGGAGCAUCUCAAAUAUAUAAAGAUGACAAAGAACUCCAGUGCCCAAAUUACCAGACUACAGGUGAUAUGCACAGCAUUAAAAGCCUCGAAUUUAUAGUUAUAUUUUAUUCUGAAUAGAGGAAUAAAAACUGGCUGGCAUCAUCAAGCCUGAGAGUUAUUGCGAGCAUGAAGUAAGUUUUGAAACCUUGAGAUAGAGGAUUUCCACAAUUCCAUUAAACUACAGAAUUGAGUCAAAGAUGUUCCCAUUACUACUGCACUGAUACAACAAAAUGAAAUAUGGAGCUAUUUCCACAUAUCUCUGCCAUGAUGAAUGACAAUAUAAACGCAGAUGUACCUAGAAAAACAUGAAGUGUUGGAGUUAUAUGCCGGAUAGAAGUUAUGGGAAAACUCUGAUUCUUUUAGAUAAGAAGUUUAAAAAAUAAAAAAGGGGAAAAUAAUUAUUCACCAGAAUGUUCUUAAUAAAUUCCAAGGGAUAGCAGAUUGAAGCUGAAGAUGUGUAUUGCUCUACAAAGACUCAAGGUACAGAUAAAGAAGUCUGGAUGAAAUUGCAAUAAGUCAUUGACUUAACCAUUUCACUUCCCAACUGGAAUUGUUUAAGCAUUCUCAAUAUACAAAAGAAUGCCCUAUUAAAAAUUGGAUAUUACAUUUAUUCAGGGGACUGGUUAUGCAGAUUAAUGUUGAUUGGUUUAAGAAGAGAAAAAAUGGCACAAAAGCUCAAGUUAAUUUAAUGUUAAACAUGAAAAAUUGAGCUCUCUAAGGGAAAUGAGCUUUUAAAGAAAGAGAUUUCUCCUCAGGCAUUAGCUUGGCCAUAUUGCAAGCAAUAUCGUAUUAAGAUUGCAUUUAUGAUAUUAAAAAAAAAUCUAAAGUAAUUUGAUUUUAAUUUGAAACAUAAGAAAUAAAGCCCGUCACAUUACUAUUCAUUGAUUCAUUGAUUUUAAUGCCUGAAGAAAAAUUUCCAAUCGCUUGUACUAACAUCACAGGACACAGAACUGUGCACAAUAACUUGCGCAUCAAGUUUGCAAUUUAUAAUAGAGCAUUAUAGGUAUUAUUUUGUAUAAAUCUGUUUUAUUCUAUGUCUUCAAAAAGGACCUCUAAAACUCUCAAAUGAUGAAGCUAUAUCCCAAAUUAUAAAUGUGAUCCUAUUAUUAUCAUUCCACCAGUGCUCAGAGGCCUGGGCUGAAUUCAUAUCUUGACUGUGGUCAGCACAGUGCAAACAUACUACAUAAAACCAAUUUCUUUUUCAAAGAGAAGAUUGGUAUCCAGUGACAGACAAAGUAGAGGCAUGAUUUAGCUGAAGGUCAGAGGCAGAACUGGAGACCUGCUCCUGUGUCCUAGCUACAGAACUACACUGCCAUGAAGCAGAGCCAUCUUCUCUCAUAUGUUAUCCAUGUUUUUUCAAUUUAUUAACUCUUCAGGGUUUUUUUCCAUGUACUGAAUGUUUACUGCUGUUAUUUUUUAUCUCUACCAAAAUUGCUGUUGUGGUUCUGGUUUUUUAAUGAAUAAUGAAAAUAUCAAAAAUCUGCAGAUUAUGGGCAGUCUGAAAAGGCAGGCUGGACAAAUGCUGACCUCAGAAGUACACUUAUGAGAGGCCCAGCCUCUUCUGUUAACACUGCUUGGUGGGCUCUGUUCCAAUGCUGACAGAGAAGUGUGUUGGGACACUUUUUGUGCCAUCAUCAGAUUUGCGGUUGCAUUAAUUACAAUUGCAGAAGUAGAUGACAAAUUAGCUGUACUGGUUUUCUUCUUGUCCUCAGUGUUAUUGCUCUGCUUAUUUCACACUUUCAACAAGAUGUUAAAAAUCUUGAAUAUCGCACAUCUACUUCAUGAAUUAGCCACCCUGAACCAGCCUACAACAAUUGUCUCAACAAGAAAUAGUUCAGCCUAAAUUGUAUUUUUAUAACAAAAAAAAAAAUCAUUAAUAAGUCAUUAUAUACACUGAGCAAGAAAUAAAGGGAGAAGAAGAAGAAGAAUCACAUUUGUUUCAAUUAUUCAUCUUUGUAUGACAUGAAAAGGAUAUUCACUGCUGAAACAUAAUAAGGCCUGUCAAAAGGCAGCCUAGUGCACAGGCAGCAGCUCUCCAAUCAGGAGAGUACAUCCAGGUACUCCUCCCUGUUGGCUACAGACACAAAUUGUGUCAGUUUUGUCUCUGUACAUCUGUGACAGCUGCCACUGUGUACAGCGUGGUUCCCCCUAGAGCCACGUCUUUGGGGACAAACAAGUGACUGGACAAGGGAUAAUGGCUUAAAACUGAAAGAGAGCAGAUCUAGGUUAGGUGUUAGGAGGGAAUUCUUUAUUGUGAGUGUGCUGAGGUGCUGAAAUAGGUUGUCCAGGGCAGCUGUAGAUGCCCCACCCCUGAAAGAGUUCCAGGCCUGCCUGGCUGGAGCCCUGAGCAGCUGGAAUGUGUUCCUGCCCAUGGUGGUGAGUUGGAAUUAGAUGACUUAAAAGGUUCCUUCCAACCUAAACCAUUCUAUCAUUCCAUGAAGGGAGAGCAAAAGAAUGUUAAAAUUGCAGCAGAAAUCUGUUUUGACAUUUCUAAGGAAAAGCACAUAAAAGACUAUUGUAGUAGGGAGAAAUAAUUAUUUUAAUGAUGACUUAAAUUAAUAAUCACAGCAAAAUACAGAAUGAACUUUUUAUAUUUCAAACUAUUAGAUAUGUGGCCAUGGCAGAAUAAAACCAGGUAAUAGGUCUCACUGAAUUAUUUUGUUAUUAUUAUAUCAUAAGAAAAGAGAACAUAAGGUAAAAAUAUUAUUACCAAAUACGGACUCAAAGAAUGUUUAAAGCAUAUAAAAUUAAUUUUAAGAGCCUAGAGGUUAGUAAGUAAGUAAAAGAAUUUGCAGAAAUUGUGUGUUUUGUCAAAAUUAGUCUGCAGGAAAAAAAAUGAAAAAUUCAACUCAGGUAAUGUGGUUUUAAAUUUAGGAAAUUGGGGAGUUGAGGGCACUUCAUGUAAUACAUUCGUGCAUGUCUGUCUAUGCUCACAAGCUCUGUGCAUGUAUCUGUGUGUUUGUGUGUGGGCACUCUACAGAUGAGUGAUUUAGGUUUUCCUCUUAGUAUACAACCCAUAUUUGCAAAGAGGGAUCAAUUUAGAUAUAAGAAGGUUCAUUUAUCUAUUAUAAUUACACAAAAGUUGCUAAUUUCUUUAAUUUCUAACAUGAUGAAAUUCUGAGCCUGCAACUUCCGUAGUAUCUCAGUUCUGAUGGAAAAUGGAUGUUCAAUUUUGGGGUAAAGUUAAGGCUCUGAAAUCAGUAGGCCUAAGACUUCAUUACUUGUAUUCAGUUUCUACCUCAGGCUGGUAUUUUACAGCAGCUAAUGUCUGAGAUGAUUGAAUUGAAAACCAAUUCUCUUUUAACACAUAAUUCAUGUGAGAUUUUAUACACGUCCAUUUUUAACAAAUGGAAACCAAUUACUGAGUGCAUUAUUAUUUUGUAAAGUAUAGCAUGUAUUGGGAGAAAAACUAAACAGAUUUACAAUGCUUCAGAUGGGAAAAAAUGUGACUACUGGUGAGGGAUUUCAAAACUUUCCCAUUACUUUCCUUUAUAGUCCAGUUAUACUCAGUGGAAAGAAAUUAUUUUUAUGGUAACUGACUAUGUUCAUUAACUCUUUAGGUUAUUGGCAGUUUUUAAUUUCUUUCUUCAAAGUAAAUAUAAAAAAAUUAUAUCCUCUCCCUCUCAUUUUCUGUCCCACUAUGACACAGUGAAUAUAACAAAAACGGAGUUUGUGUGGUCUCUUGCUUUCCUCAUCUGUGGAGAGUGGAUGCAUAUUGAUCAAUGACAGCAGUGGAAGUGGGCUGGGUUUUGAGGAAAGGUAAAUCAGGCGCAAAUCAAUUUAAAUCAAUAAAGCUAUGCCAAUUUAUACCAGCUGAAAAACACUACUGUAUUUUUAAAUUGUUACAAAGAUUUCAAAAGUAAUUUCUGAAAAAUGGAUAAAUAAUAAUUACACUAUGCUCAGAUUUCAAUUAAUGUAAAAAUCUGGCUUGCAGAUUAAUUUAAUUAAUGCUUUUCUUUGACAUUGUAGUGUUUUGGGAUAUAUUAGCUGCUUUCAUGACAAUUCUUAUGCAGGCAGGCUACAAGAGAACCUCAGAACGUAAUGAUUGAAAAGUACAUAUAUAUAUGCAGGACAUUUUUUCACUAAUUUUUAUUGUAUAGUGAAAAUGUAAUUUCCUGACAUUUAGUGUAAUUCAUAAAAUCAUAGAACUGCUAAGACUGGAAAAGACCUCCAAGAUCAUUGACUCUGAUUACUUAAAUUGCUCUCUAGAGUACAGAAGUUUGCUGAUAUGACAAAGGAGGAAAGAAUAUGAAAACAAUGAUACAGAAAGGUUUGAGGACAUAAUCCCCAUAAUCUACAUGAUAAUUGUGUUGACAUCUGAUUCCCCAUUAAUAAAAACUAGAAUAACUUAUUUUAUUGAAAUACUAUCUCUAAAACUGAGAUUUGUAAAUGUAUUACCAAAGAAAAUGGAUCUUAGUUUUUGAGACUGAAUUUUCUUCCAGGUAGCCACAACUACUUUAAUAACAGUGACCUUCUUUCUGUAGCACAAUAAGGCAAUAACACUUUUCAUAAUGAACAGAUCACUUUGGAUAAGUGGUUCAUUAUAAAACUGAGGAAAACAUAUUACUAAGAAAGUGAGACUAUAAAAUGUAUGUCAAAUGUAAAACCUUACAAAUUUUCUUUUGGGAAAGUGUAUAAAGGAUUGUCAGAAUGUUGGAUUCUUAGCUGUAGGCAAAAGAAGUAGCUCAUUCUGUUUUAAGGAUAGUAGCAUAUACUGCAUAGACAAUCAAUUAUAAUUGGCAUUUGGUUAGGAGUUUCCACUGAGUAGAAGAUGAGCACUUUCCAUUGUCAGUUGCUGAUCAAUUCUUUCUGUGAACCUAACUCAAAGAUUGUAUUUUUGUUCUAACUUCUUUCUGGAUGCAAGCAGCUUACUAUAAUUAAAAUGAAGCAGCAAUCCUAGUUAUUGUCCCCUAUUAUUAAUUCAGUGGAGUUCUUUGGUUUACUUCCAUGUUAGUGGCUGUGUUCUCAAUGGUGUGACAAAAGUGUAGACUUUUGCACUUUCUGAAAGUAUAUAAAAACUUUCAGAAUUUGACUGUGUAAUGACACAACACAGCCUAUGAAAUGACAAAAAAUCAAGAUUUUUCAGCUAUGUUUCAGAUCAGUGGUGUCAGUAUGAACAAGCCACAUAGAGGAAAAUACUCAAACUUAAAUGUCAACGAAGUAAUGCUGGCCACUGCUGUAACUUUCUGUUAGGUACUUUGGUGCCUGCAUUUAGACAUUCUGCUUUGAAAAGGUUGUCUUUAACCUCCAGCUAUUGUAAAUUCACCUUUCAUCUGAGUUUGCCUUCACAGAAGUAAAUAAAAAUGUUUCUGUUGAUAGAAAGACAUUGAGAGCAGUCCAUGUAUAAGAUAGAUUUCACAACAGCCUUCUAUUUUUGCCUGAAUUUUUUCCAAUUAAAAAUAAUAAUAUAAUAGGAAAAGUAAUAUUUUCUUGCCCUUCAUUACAAGAUAUGAACAGAGAAAUCCAAAAGAAGCAUUACAGAUCUAUUAAUAAUAAAUCUUUGGUGUUUUGAACUCUGAUUGUGGUCUUAAUGAACUUCAUCAACCUGUGUCUUAAAACAAAUGACAAGGUUUAUCCACAUUGUUUUUGUGUGUCUCCUGAUGAAAUACAGCUCCAGCUGCUUUCUUCAAACUUGCAGAAACUUGUUUGUUUGUUUGUUUUUACCACAGAAUAGUCCCUUUUCCUUAUCUGGUAUUAAUCUCCUGUGUGACUGCUCAAGAUUCAUUUUGCUCCUUUUUCUACCAUAAGAUUAGCUUUCCUUCUUGUUAUAUCCCCAAAUCAUGCACAAAACUGCUGAGGAAGUCUUAGCACAUCUUUGCACAGGGCAGAAUGUUUGUUGUGUUGGAAACAUUAACAGGUUACAUCACAGAUUUCCAUUUGUCUGUUUCACCUUUGGAACAUAUGGACUGCUUUGCUUCAACAUAUUGUAACGAAGAACUUCAACCCUAGAACACCAAAAUUUUAGCAUAAAAAGUAUUUGUUGAUACAGAACUAGUAUAAUAAAUUAUUUUGACUGAAAAAUUAUUUCUUGAAGAACAUAAAGGUCAAUAUUUUUAGUCUGUUUUAUACAGAAAGUUCACAUAUGCUCCACCAUUACCCCCUCCAAUUACAGAAUAGUAUUUUUCACUAAGCUUAUUCUAAAGAUUGCAAUCCUUUUUCAAGCACUGGUUUCCCAUAAUAACCAGCCAACAAAAUGGAUUUUUAAAGGAAAACAGAACAAAUUACUCUUUUCUAGAAAUCACAGGUUUUUGUCAUCAAAAGACAGCAGUAGUUGUAGCCCACAAGUGGGUGCUAUAGCAGGACUGGAAUGUGAAUGUGCUCCAGUGAACAACAUAAAAGAAGGGAACUUUUCCUCAGACCAGCUUGUUAUCUGCCAUUCCUUUCCAUACAAAUGCAGACCUAGGCUGGAAAGCAACACAGCUGCAUUAGAAAGGACUUUUGUGUGUUAUUGAGAGCAGAGUAGAAGACGAAAAUCACCUCUCUUGACCUGCUGGCCACACUUUGUGUGCAGUCCAGAACUCAGUCGGCUUUCUGGGCCACCAGCACACAUUUCUGGCUCAUGUUAAGCUUCUUAACCAACAGCUUCAAGUGUUUUGCCUCAGGGCUGCUCUCACCAGCACACUGAACUCCUUUCUACUCAGGGGCAAUAACAUUCUCAGCUGCUUUAUAUACCUUCCUGAACAGAGCCCUAAUGAAGUAGAUUCUCAGCAUCAGCAACACCUGUGAGGAUGAAAGCUGUUUGAUACUGCCUUCUGCCUCUUGUACAAAAUGGUGAGCCUGAGUUUGAGAUAGAAGUUUUUGUGGCAUGAAGGUAAUUGGAGGUAGUAAGUAAAGAUUGCUGCGUGAUUAAAUAUUCAGUGAAUGCAUUUAUUUUUAGUCCAAGAUUCAGGCUGUGACUAGAGUGGUAAAUUAAACAUAUUUGGGAUAAUUUCCUGGCACUGGAGACAGAUGGGCAUAGAGUGGUCUCUGUCUAUACUAUUAAAUUAUCUUUUCCAUACCAUUUUCCAGCCAGGAUCAGGAUUUGCAUGUAGUGUUAGCUGGUCCAAGACAGAGCCAUAAAAGGGAUUGCUCCAACAGUUAAGCAGUAUAAACAAUCAAGUUCCAAUGUCAAAGAACUAUUCCAUUUCUUAGCACUUUAACAUAUUAAUUUUGUUUUAUUGUAUAUAUUUACUAUAAAGGAUUAAAUUCCUUUUCUAGUCCUGCUUUGCACAGGAGCUGAGAACAAGAGCUAACUAUUACAGGGGGUUCAUUUAGGUCAGGAAGCCAACUGGGUUUGUUUUUCCAGUUUUUUUUUCAAAGGUGGCAAAAAAUGGCAACAGAAAGAAAGGGAUUUAGCCUCUUUCUUUCAGGCACAAAAGAAAAUAAUGACAUACAAAACUUAAGCCAGACCAAAAGUUGAUACAGCUCAGUAUCCUUCCUGCGACAGUGACUAACACCUGACAUUUGUGAAAUGGGAUGAGAAAAUAAUGAUGGGUAUUUUUGACAUAUGUUUUCAUAUUCUGUUACCAAAAAACAAAACAAAAAAACAAACAAAAAACAAACAAACAAACAAAAAAAACCACCAAAAACACCCACCAAAAAAAACCCCACACAAAACCAAAACAAAACGAAAGGCUAACAAACAAACAAAAAUAAAAAAAAAAACCCAAACAAACAAAUAAAAAACCAGAAAAAAAGUUAGAUGCAGCAUGAGAAGUAAAAAGGUUGUUACUUGAAUAGAUAAAUAAAGGAAUUUUUUUUUUUCUUAAUUAAUGUUGUACAUUAUGCCCACAUUUGAAAUAUCCCACGGUAUGGAAGGGCUAAGACCAUGUCAUAUAGAAAUUAUAUAUCUUUGCCAGAUUCUCCAGAGUGUUCUCCUGUGAUGUGCUUUGUCUCUUUGUAAGCUUUGUGCUUACCUACUGAUUGGUGCAUGGUGAGCCAGCCUUACAGGGACGGAUGUUUUGUUCUCUGCCGAUCAGGAUACUUAUUUCUUCUUUUCAAUACCAAUUUUUACUGAUCUUGCAAUUGGCUUGACACCUCUGUUAAAUUACAUUGGGAUUUAACCCCAAAAACAAAAGGUCUUUGGAAAAGAUUGACUGGCAGAGGAACAGAUGGACUGCAACUCAGGCAAAAAGUAUCAUCUUCAAAAAAAUUAAUUAACAUUACCAGCUAGAUAUAGUCAUUAUCCCUUUCCUUUAUGUAAACAUAUCCAGAAAUAAUUUUUAUAGGUGCUUCUAUUUGCAUACAAUCCAUUAGAUUGGUAUGUUAAUUAAGGAUUCUUCAUAGCUUUAAAAGUAACAUAUGUGACUCCAAGCUAAUAAAUAAUCCAUUUAACAAAAAACUAAAAUAGAGAAACAGCCAUUAAUUUCUCUUUGUAUGACAGGUUGAAAACAGAGUUAAUAGGCUGCCAUGUUUGGUAUUUUGGGAGACAGCAAUAGGGUCACAUAUGUCCUGUCAAGCAAGUUUUGAUAUGCCUAGGAGUCUUGUGAAAAGAAAGGAACUGUCAUCCCCCAAUACCUGCUUCAAUAUUGCCAAAGUGAAUGGGAAGACUCCUACUGCCUUCAAAAUUAUUUGAAUUUUGGCACAUUUUCAAAGCUGUUGUUUCCCAUCAAAUAAUAAAAUUUGAGGAUCAUGGUAGUCUUGCUUCUGCUCAGGAGUUACCCCUCCAAGUCCUGCUUGCUCUUUAAUUAAGUGUGUUUCCUGGUCACAGCCUUCCCAGUGUGGCAAUGAGACCUCAGUGGAAAUUCUCCUUCCACAUACUUCCUUGGAAAGGAAUGCAGGGGCUGGGAGGUUGCUGGGGUGUGCUCUAGGAUGUCUGCAUGACCAGAGAAUAAGGACUGGCACAACUGGCACACUGCAGAAAGCAGAGAAUUGCUGCCAGCUGCUAUAGAUGCAGUAUGGGGAUGCACUUACACCUUGCUUAGAGGCACAGUCUGGACCUUUGCACCGAGAAGCACUUCAAAUGAUCUACUUAUUAAAGAUACCAUUCAUAUUACCUCUUUAUUGAUUUUCCAACCAAUUUUACAUCCAUAUGCAGCUAAUAUAAGAGUAUUGAGUUCUUAUUGACCACAAACCUAACUUAAAUGUAUAUCCAAUUGACAGCUGCACUUACUGCUUAAUUUUUAAAACCAAAAUAUCCAGAAUACAUAAUUUAAAAGCUGCAUAUGCAAAACUAAUAAACUAUCAUAUUUUUCCCAGCUAAUAAAACAGUGCUCUAGUUUCUAUAGGUUUACCAUUCAAAAAUGGAGAAGCUUUGACUCAAAUAUUGACUUAGUCACAGUUCAUUCAUUAGGCAGCUUUCUCAGGCCUAAUUUUUUCCUGCUUGCAGUUCUGGAGAGCUGAACACCUUAAUUUAGUCAACACUAUGAUUGGAGAAGGAGGAUUACACUUAAGAGAAGAAACCGUUCAUACUUACAUGGGAAAGCACUGUAAGAGACCAUUAAUGUAUUCCUUCAAAGAAAUAAAUUCUAAACAUAAACACAAGAUAUUAAAAGACAAGGCAUUGCAAACACGAAUACAUGAGACUGAAAAACUUUUCAGGGAUGUUUUGUGCACUUUGAACAUUUUACAUUAGCUGCACAAUGAUUUUUCCAUCCUGAUAAACUCUCUUCAAUAAAUUGUAAAGUUCCCACCUCAUUUGCUUAUCUUCUCAACUGAACUGAAGAAGAAAAAUAAUUUAAAGGCCAGUAAACUUUGAAAAUAUGCUUUAUUGAAUUUACUGCCAUUUUAAAUAUAAAGACAUUAAGCAGUAUGUGUUCUGGCUAGAUUGCUAAUCACCAUGAGAUCACGCAUAUAGGUGCAGGCAGAACUUUUCCUGUCAGAGGUGUUAUCACAAGGACACUAGAUUACCUCUCUUUCAGCCCUCUUGGAAAUAAAUUAUCAGAACUAGGUACCACUACUUUAUUGCUCAGUGUGUCCAGAGAAUCAGAUGCAGUAAAUUCUACUUCUGUGACCUUUUCAGUAUUCUGUGUUUUGACUGAGUGUCCAUUCUAGUCACAGGUUGCUGAGGUCACAAUCAGAAGAAGAUAGGAAUGGCAAGCGAAUCAAAUUACAGAAUACUAAAAAGGUCAGAGUAGUACCAUUUAUAUUACCCUUCACAGAACAGAUGAGGCAGAAAAAGUUGUACCUCUGUCUCACAACAAAAAUUAUAAUGAUUCAGGAAAUAAUACCAGUGACAAAUUCUCAUUUGUGCCAAGAAGCUGCACUGUGAAGAAAUAGCUAUAAUACCCACUGUUCACAUUUGGUAGUAUGAUCCUGUUGUAUUUAAAAACUGAGUUUUUUGGAAGUUCUGUUUUGCAAUAACAUCUUUCAUUUCAGAAAUAAACACGAAUAAAAGUCUUCUGAAAAAAAAUUUAGCAUUACAUUCAACUGAACCAAAUAAAUUGGUGUUGCUAUAUCCAUGUCAUGACUUUCCUACUGUAUUUUAUACACAUUGCAGCUGGAUGCACUAAGUUUUAUAAAAUGUUGUGGAUUUUAAUUGAAAACCUCAGGUAGUGAAUAGUCCUCUUAGAAAUUAAAAAAAAAUAAUAAUCACUACUAAUUUUUUCUAGUGUAUUCUUGGAUUUAUAUUGACCAGUACAUGUAAUUAAGACUUGUACACAGCUGGCAAAUCUCUCCUCCAUUUGUUUAAAACCAUUCCUCCUUGUCCUACCACUAGUCACCCAUGUUAAAAGUUGUUCUUCCUCUUUUGUAUGUCUCAUCUAAGUACUGGAAGGCCAUAAUCUCUUCUGCAGGCUGAACAGCCCCAACUCCCUCAGCUUGUCAUUGUAGGAGAAGGGUACAGUCCCUCUCUUCAUCUUCAUGGCCCCAUUCUGGACCUGCUCCAAGAUGUCCACGCCUCUUUUGUGAUGAGGACCCCAGAUUUGGACACUAUAUUCUAUGUGGGGUCUCACAAGGGCAGAGUAGAGCAGGAGAAUCAUUUCCCUUGACCUGCUGGUCACUCCUCUUUUGUAGAGCAUGCAGCCCAGGAUGUGGCUGGCCCUUGGGGCUGCAACCAUACACCAUUAUUAUAUUUCCUGUUGACCACCUUGUCUCUUGAAAGUAGCUUAUAAGUUAGAUGUGGGAAACAAAACAACCAAUAAGACACCAAACUUGCCUUCAGCAUGGAGCAGUGAGCAUCAGCUGUGAAGGGUUAACAGACUUAAUGUCCAGGCAGUCUUACUUAAAAGAUUGCACUUUAAAUUGCAAUAGUGAUUAGUAUCGAAAUAAUGAUAAUGAAAAAGAAAAUUCUCUUACCAGAAUAGUAAACUUUUCUUAAAUAUUCUCAAGAAUUUACUCAGCCACUUAUAUCUAGUCAGCAUAAUUCAAUAUCCACUUAAAUUAUCAACAAAGUUAAUUUAAAAUGUAUUUUUCUACAUUAAGCAGUUGACUGCUUGACAUAAUGAAUAUACAUAAAUCAAUUUUUUAAAAAAAAAUACUCUUGUUUUUUUCGUUAUUAUUGUUUGACAUUUAUAUCCACCACUGCUUUUCGAUCAGUCAGUCUUGGAACCCAGGGGAUUUAGAAAAAAAAAAAAAAAAAAGCAGUCAGUCAGAUCCCAAGAGGUUGAGAAUGUAUUAUAAUCCAUGACAAAGACAAACUCGUACCAAAAUCCCCACAUAGCCCCAUUCUUCAAGGUCAAAUAUUCUCUGCCAUAAAUAAAUUAUAAAGGCUUCUCGGAUAUUCUGGUUUUGUCCAUGAUUUUCUUGUAAAAAUAGGAAUGUCAGGAACUUGUUAUUUAUUUCUUUUUCAUUUUAAACUCAGAAGAUAUUAGUUUACAUAAGCAUCAGUUUAGUUACAGUUCUACACUGUCACAAUAUUACUCUGGGAAUAUCCACAGAGUAAGAUGAUUCUGGAAGAAGUUUCAGUCCUCUAAAAGUUAAACUUAUAUGAAAAUCUUGCCCACUCUCUCCCAGUAAUGCCUGUCAAUGAUUUCUCUAACUCUAUCUAUGCUGGUUUUUAUUUUCCCUUGUUUCAUUAUUCUUAUGAAGUCUCCAGUUAUGGUUGGAACACCUCAAAUGUAAUAAAAGUACUUCAUUUUUUCAUGAGGGUUAUUAAACUUUUUUUUCUUCAUGCAAAGCAACCAUCUCUUUCAUUGUUUUUUUGGCUCAUAUUACUUCUAAUAAAAGAAUAUCAUUAAUUUGU